AUUGAACGCUGGCGGCAGGCCUAACACAUGCAAGUCGAACGGUAACAGGAAGAAGCUUGCUUCUUUGCUGACGAGUGGCGGACGGGUGAGUAAUGUCUGGGAGACUGCCUGAUGGAGGGGGAUAACUACUGGAAACGGUAGCUAAUACCGCAUAACGUCGCAAGACCAAAGAGGGGGACCUUCGGGCCUCUUGCCAUCGGAUGUGCCCAGAUGGGAUUAGCUAGUAGGUGGGGUAACGGCUCACCUAGGCGACGAUCCCUAGCUGGUCUGAGAGGAUGACCAGCCACACUGGAACUGAGACACGGUCCAGACUCCUACGGGAGGCAGCAGUGGGGAAUAUUGCACAAUGGGCGCAAGCCUGAUGCAGCCAUGCCGCGUGUAUGAAGAAGGCCUUCGGGUUGUAAAGUACUUUCAGCGGGGAGGAAGGGAGUAAAGUUAAUACCUUUGCUCAUUGACGUUACCCGCAGAAGAAGCACCGGCUAACUCCGUG
rnacentral:rRNA from 1 species